rnacentral:rRNA from 1 species
CCUACGGGAUGCAGCAGUGGGGAAUAUUGGGCAAUGGACGCAAGUCUGACCCAGCAACGCCGCGUGAAGGAAGAAUGCCUUCGGGUUGUAAACUUCUUUUAAGGGGGAAGAGCAGAAGACGGUACCCCUUGCAUUAGCCACGGCUAACUACGUGCCAGCAGACGCGCUAAUACGUAGGUGGCAACCGUUGUCCGGAUUUACUGGGGGUCAAGGGCGUGCAGCCGGGAAGACAAGUCAGAUGUGAACUCCCGGGGCUCAACCGCGGAACUGCAUUUGAAACUGUUUUUCUUGAGUAUCGGAGAGGUGAUCGGAAUUCCUAGUGUAGCGGUGAAAUGCGUAGAUAUUAGGAAGAACACCAGUGGCGAAGGCGGAUUACUGGACGACAACUGACGGUGAGGAGCGAAAGCGUGGGGAGCAAACAGGAUUAGAUACCCCGGUAGUC